GUUAAUGCCUUCACAUGCAAGUCGAACGAAGUCCGGACUUAGUGGCGGACGGGUGAGUAACGCGUGAGAAUCUGCCUUGAUAGAUGGGGACAACAGUUGGAAACGACUGCUAAUACCCGAUGUGCCGGAAGGUGAAAAUUUUUUGCCUCAAGAGGAGCUCGCGUCUGAUUAGCUAGUUGGUGGGGUAAAAGCGUACCAAGGCAACCAAUCAGUAGCUGGUCUGAGAGGAUGAGCAGCCACACUGGGACUGAGACACGGCCCAGACUCCUACGGGAGGCAGCAGUGGGGAAUUUUCCGCAAUGGGCGAAAGCCUGACGGAGCAAUACCGUAUGUGAGGGAGGAAGGCCUUUGGGUUGUAAACCUCUUUUCUCAGGGAAAUAAGUUUCUGACGGUACCUGAGGAAUAAGCAUCGGCUAACUCCGUGCCAGCAGCCGCGGUAAUACCAGGGGGAUGCAAGCGUUAUCCGGAAUUAUUGGGCGUAAAGUUCUUUAGGUGGUCUUUCAAAUCCUGCUGUCAAAGACCAGAGCCUAACUCUGGGCAUGGUGGAAACUGAUAUCACUAGAGUUCGGUAGGGGUAGCGGGAGAGCUUCCCAGUGUAGCGGUGAAAUGCGUAGAUAUUGGUAGAACAUCGGUGGCGAAGGCGCGCUACUGGACCGAAACUGACACUCAGGGAAUGAAGCUAGGGUAGCGAACAGGGGAUUAGAUACCCCUGUAGUCAUAGCUGUAACGAUGGAAACUAGGUGUGGCUUGUAUCGACCCGAGCCGUGCCGUAGCCAACGCGUUAAGUUUAUGCCCGCCUGGGGAGUACGUUACGCAAGUGUGAAACUCAAAGGAAUUGACGGGGCUUCCGCACAAGCGGUGGAGUAUGUGGUUUAAUUCGAUUAUAACGCGAAGAACCUUACCAGGGCUUGACAUGUCCGGAACUUUUCUGAAAUAUGAGAAGGUGCAGGUCGGGAACCGGAACACAGUACGGUGCAUGGCUGUCGCAGAGCUCGUGUCGUGUAUGAUGUUGGGUUUAGUCCCGCAACUUAGCGCAACCCUCGUCUUUAGUUGCGGGCCGCAUUAAGGUGGGCACUCUAGAGAGACUGCCGGUGACAAACCGGAGGAAGGUGAGGAUAACGUUACCAGUCAGCAUGCCCCUUACGCCCUGGGCUACACACGUCCUACAAUGGUUGGGACUUAUAGGGCAGCGAACCCGCGUAGGGAGAGCGAAUCUCACAGAACCUAUAGCCUCAGUUCAGAUUGCUCUCUGCAACUCGAGAGCAUGUAUGGAGGAAUCGCUAGUAAUCGCCAGGUCAGCAUACUGCGGUGAAUUCGUUCCCGGGCCUUGUACACACCGCCCGUCACACCAUGGAAGCUGGUCACGUAUCCGAAGUAGUUACUAUCCAACUUUCGAGAGGGGGACUCCUAAGUAAGGGCUAGUGACUGGGGUGAAGUCGUAACAUAU
rnacentral:rRNA from 1 species